rnacentral:lncRNA from 1 species
CAGAUCUUUUGCAGACAGUUUUCGUGUCAAAAAAGAACACCCAGAGGCUCACACAAUCUUCAAGAAUACUCUGAAUCUCCCCUGUAGAACUUGCUACAACAGUGUCAGUAAUAAGGAAAACGACCGAGUCUCAGUUCAGCCGGAAACAAAUCCGUUAGGAUGCUCCCAUGGUAAUGAAGGAAGAUAGGACUGGACACGA